GUCUGUCCUGGCUGCUGGGUUCAAGCCUCUUUUGUGGAAGGACAAAAGAGAAGCUCGGGUUGUUGCUCAGGUAAAACCAGCACCUGAUGAGAAAGAUUUAGGAUGUGUUGGGAAGUUUCUUGGAUAAAUCACAGUUAAUCCCUUCCUUGUGGCUCCCUUACACCCAGCAGAUUCUCCAACUCCAGCUGGGAGUGACAGAACCCGAUGCUGUUACAUCCAUGGCCUGUCCUGUGCCAUUAUCCUGAGCAGCUGAUAAUAUGAACACGAAAUUAGGAAUCACCUGAGCAUUGUGUUUAAUAAAGCAGCUGGGAGGCUGCCAGCAGUCACAAAGAGAUCCUGAGCUCUUUACACCCACGUGUUCAUCACCACUUUUUCGGAUUUCAAUGGGUAUUGGUUUAGAUACCUGGAACUUGUUUUGGUGAGUGAUCUCCUGUGAAAUCAGGAUUCCUUCAGAACUGGGGGACUGAUGGGAUGUCAGGUGCACUCUGGCUGUUUUGGCUGGAUGCAGGAAGGGCAGUGCUGAGGCCAUCCCUUAGGAGCAGAGCAGGGUGGCUGGAAUUUCGUGUCCCCAAGCCCUGUGACCAAGCCAGAGCUGGCAGCAGCUCGGUGGAGGAGAAUGGCUGGACGACUUCUCACCAGGGCUGUGCCUGGAGAGGCCGCAGAUGGAUUCCCUGUGGUGUUGCUGGUUGGAUUCAAUCAGAAUUUGGGACAGGGAGAGCUAUGUUAGUGAGGCUGGGAGAGCUGGGGCAGCAGCAGGAGGCUGAGGAGCCUGGGGAAGCACAGGGAGUGGAAUGGAGUGUGUGCCAUGAAGUGUGCAGCCCAUGGAUAAUCCUCCUUACAGUGCAGAGCUGGAAUCCAGCCCUGCAGUGCCACGAGUGGCUGCUGGGCAAAACCUGGACAAUGUUUGUUUAAACACCCUUGAAUAACAGGGACUUUUAAAAAGCAGGAUUUUGUUCACUUGACAAGAUUAAAUUAAACACAGCGUUCCCAUCUCUGCCCCCAACCCUGAAUGCCAAAGGGCAGGAAGAGGAUCAGAAAUCUCCAAUUCCUUCUGGGGGAGGUGCCAGCAAUGAUACAUGAGCAAACAGAUAUUUAAAUAUGAUAUUAAAACUCCCAGUUUCAGAACUUCCUCAUCACCAGUGAUGCUCCAAACGUGCUGUUUCAUAGUGGAGCAGGGCCACACCAUUAUCCUGCCUUUUCUUCCCAGAAAAUUGCACUGUGCAGCACUAUAAACCUGAAUAAUGCAAGUCCUGUUGGAAAGACAUCUUGUUUUUCCUUCUAGGUUGCUUAAUUAAUUUCUUUGGACUUCUUUUAUACAGUUUGAUGAAUGUUAUUUCAAACUACUGUCAAAGGGAAUGUGAGGAGGGAAAAAUGAGCCACCUACACACUGCUUCUAAUACAACUGUAUCACCCUUUGAAAACCAGGGAAUUAAUAAAAAAUAGGUGUUAGCCCAUAUGCUCGACAGGGAGCAUUUGGAAUUGUCAGGCAUGUUUCUACCCUAAUUAUCCUUGUCGGGCCAUUUUGUAAACUGAAAAAUUCCCCAAGUUAAAUAAAAACUCAGAGACAGGCCGGGAUAUUGAAAGCUCCACUUUCAAACCAGCAAACCAGAAAUUGUUCUUGUUUGGGCUGUUACCUCCCACCCAGAGACCUCUCACAGCAUAUUGCCAUGGGAAGCGAAAUGAGCACACCUGGUGCUGUUACGAAUUGGGUUUGUUUGAAGGUUAUUGGGCAUCUCUGAGGGAAAUCUAACAAAACUGGACAAUCUGCAAUGUUUCAGCGUGGGAGAAAGCCUCCAGGUGGAAUUACAGGGAGAGGCUCUUGUGUUCCUUCUUUGUGGUGAUUAAACUGAAGGGGUAAAUAUGGGAUAUUGCUGCUGCUUUGGGUUCUGCUGGGGUUUGGGGUGUCUCAGCACAGCCACUGACACAGCAACAGCACCUCUGCAGUGCUUAUGGAAGGGAAAAAGGGAUGGCUGUGGGUUUUUAGGACAAGGAUGCAGCUCCCCCAGGCAGAGGGGGCACUGGGGUGCCUGGGGGAGGUGGUGAUGACUGAGCACACCCCAAGAGCAGGUCAGCCUGCACAGAGAGGUGAAGGUUGGGUUAUUAAAAAUGAAUUAGGCAGAUUCCUGAGUUAGGGGCCCCAAGCCAGGGCUUUCAGGCAGGCCAGCACACACAGGCUCAGCUGCUGCCAGCACACAGUUAAUAACACACUUGACUUAGGGUAGCUGCUGCUCCCAGCCUGGCUCGAGGGGGCAUUAUCCCCCUCACAAUUCUGAGGGAAUAAUUCAUGGGCAAAGUUUGUCUUUUUCUCAUGUUUGUAUUUCCCAUUUCAAAAAUCUGUGCUGAAAAAUUUAUCAAAAUGAGCCUUUUUCUUUAGUUCUUUCCUGAGACCAUAGGAAAAGCUGCUGCUGCCUAAUUGGAGGUUCCCAGAAUCAUCUCCCUCCUGUGAAUACACACAAUGUUCAUGUUGUGCAUAUUUGCUGUAGAUUGAGUGGGCUCCUUCUUUAAAACUUGCUGUGCUGAUGAACGCUUCUCCCAGGAGAGUUCCCCUUUCAAUAUUUGUGGAAAACGCACAAAGGACAAGGACACAGUUGAAGUCUCUUAAUUUGCAAAUGUAUCUGAAUAUUCAUGAUGCCUAUUUUCAUAUUCACCCAUUUUUUCUCCUCUUGUUAAGGCAGCAUGUCUGUUUUAAGGAAGAACACAUCUGUCACAGUUUGUUUUGUCAUCAGAAAUAUUAAUGCUGGGGGAAAACCAGUGCAAAAUUGAUCACAGAGCGAUCGAAUGGGUCGGGUUGGAAGGGACCUUUGAGAUCAUCUCAUUCCACCCUGAAUCAGCCAGCAGAAAUCCUGCUGUCUGCCUUAAUAAACUCCUGACUCGUGGAGGCUGAUUCCUGCUCCGAGUGGAGGACAGGAAUAGGGAAUAUCGUGGUCAAACACAGAGGUUGGGAGGGUCAGGGUGACCCCAGUGCUGCCUGGGGAGCUGGGGCUGCACGGGCUGUGCUUGGAGAGCUCCUCCUUUAGUGACUCGCUUCUCAUCCCUCUCUGCGCUCAGCAAAAUUAAAUCACCAAGUGUUUCAAGGAAGGACAGCAUGAAAAGCACUUUGGAUCCCCUCAGAAAGAAAUUAAUUUUCCAUUUGAACCCAGAGCUGCUGAAGCCAUCGCCCGUGUUCCCUGCACGGCCCGCGGCAUCCAGCGCUCCUCGCCUUUCAUCUGCUGCCUGUCGACAGCUCCUCAAAUUGUCUGAGGGGGAAAUUUCCUCCCACAUCUUAUUUGAACCAGUUUUUUUCCCUGAGAAAUGUUGCCAACAAAGAUUACUUCUCUUCAGGGCUGGCAAACACUAUUUCUUACCUGGUGGCUUAUUGGGAAUACAAUUGGAAAAAGCAUGAUAAGGUUUUACAAACAGCAGGAUGAAUAAAGGCAGGAGGGAGAUUUUUUAUCUCCCCCCCAUUAGCUGCAGACAGGGGCAGUUCCUACUCUGAUUAUCUCCAGUGUGCAGUUUUUCUCAGUGAACCUGCUGAUUUAGCUGGAAAGCGUUGAGUGUCACGGGCUGGUGGCUCCACAAGGUCACGGUGGUGGCAUGUGGAAGGUCCCCACUGUCCCCUGUGCCUGGCACUGUUCCCUGUGGUGAGGCACUGCAGGGAGCCCCACAUCUCAGGCUUUGCUGUUUUCCAUGGUCUUUGUGUUCUUUCCUCCUUGAAGGCACAGCUGUUUUCCCCCCAGCAUGUCCCCAGCUCUCCUCUGAGCAUUUAUGGACUGGGUGAUCAGAGGGAUUCCCUGGGGAUGCUUUGGUGCAGCAGCUCUGGGACCUGCUCUGGCAGGUGCAGGAGGGGCAUUUUGCAUCCCUGAGAUCCUUCCAGAUCCUCUCCAGAACAAGAGGGCUCUUUAGACUUUCAGCCUGUGUUUAUUCCCGCUCUCUAUUUCAAUUACCUAAAUGUUUGUAUAAUUCAAAAAUUGAUUUCAGCUCAGCAAAGCUCCCGACCACACUCUGAGUUUUGUUUGCUGCAGAGCCCAUAACUAACAAAGCAACAACUUCUUUAUUGCAGGAUAAAAGCCCAUCUAAGAGAGAAGCUGUCAAGAGGAAUGUGGCACUCUGCAUCAUUUCCUGGGCAUUAAAACUUCCAUUUAUUUUCAAAUAUUUUGCAGACCAGCCGGCACCUGGUGUAUCGACCGUGCCAUUAAAUCACCCAGAACUCGUGUCUGAGAGAGUUUUGGGAUCACUGUGCCACCCAAACCCCAGCUGGCACUGCAAGGCAAAAGAAGAAGCAUUCCCUACUAAUAUUUUUCCUCCAGGCCAUGGCUCUCUUGCCCAUGCACUGUUUGUGUGGCGCUUGCUCUGCUGAGCCAAGGCCUGAGCUGCUCUGCCUGGCACUGAAACACGUCCUUAAGGCUCCCUGAAAUAUAGAAGAAGACAGGGAUUACAAGUCCUUCCUGAGCAGCCAGAACAGAACCCAUUAAGGUAUUGCAAGCCAUGCAAUUCAAUGGCCCUGAAAGUAUAAUUUGAUUGUAAUUCAGGAGGUUACUAAAAGGAAAUCCAUACCAGGCUGAGAGAUAAGCGAAAGCGAGGAGUGUAUUUACUGUGAGUGCUGAAAUGUGAGGUGUACGAGUCCCUUAUCUCCUUUGUCUGCACUUUAUCACCACUGAAGGCAAGUAAAAGGGGAAUAAUAUCUGCUUCACAAGAGAAGAUUGGAUUAAGUUUUCCCAGUGGUCUUGUGGGAGUUAUUUCCAUUUUGCUCCUGCCUGGAUUAGCCUAACUCCUUCAGGCUUUUCCACAUCUCUACAGGAGAAGGUCCUGGCUCAGGGAGGGGAGGGGAGCAUGGUUGGUGUGUUGGUUCUUCCUGGAGGAAUUUGCCUUUGACCUCUGUAAAGGAAUUAGGAGACCUACAACCUCCUCCCUGACUCUUUUACUGUGGAGGUUUCUUUUUCAGAUCCUUUUUUGUUAUGCAACCUUUUUGUCUGGCAGCGUUAUCUCUUGCAGGUGUUUGUUAGAACCAUUACUUGUGAGAAGAGACCUGGGUGUGCUCAUUUCUUGCUGCAGUUUCCCUCACUGCCCUUGUCUCCAGCUCCAGUCCCUCUCUGCAGAGACCUGCCUGACUCACUGCACAAUACCUUGGAAACAGCCCCAGAUGGUCAGGAAUGGGAUCCCCCACGUUCUCCUCCCAGUCUGAGAAGACAAGAAAAUAAACAAGGAAAAUGUCUGUGCUGAUGGCAUCUGUUGGCUCCCUCAUAAGAUCCCAGUCAUCCCUUUAGUUCCUGGCAGGAAGCUGGAACUGGAUGAUCUUUCAGGACCCUCCAACCCAAACCAUUCUGGGAUUUUGUGGCAAAUGAGACUUGGCAGCAAUUCCAGAUCAAACACUGCCGUGGGUUUGGGGUGCUGUCCAGGGAGUGUAACACCUCAGACCUCUGAGCUCUUGCUGUGAUAAAAAGCUGCAGACAAAACUCCCCAACCAAUGUCUUCAUAAUACUUAACAUUCAACGGAGCAAAAGGAGAAUAAUGAGCACUGCAGCCAUCCCAGGAGCCCAGUGCACUCGGAGGCAGAGAUAAAAAGUGCGGAUCAGAUGAAAGGAUGGCAGUGAUCACUCAGGUAUCUGUACACUCAUUUUCCUGGAUUUCUGACUCAGAAGGCCUCUCUGCACUGCAGUACCUGUUCCCAAGAGCUGGGAAUGCUGGGGGAGCCUGGAGAUCCCCAGGAGGUGUUCCUGAGUGCACCCACCUGGAUGCCCUGUGCAGGUGAGUGGUGACAGGUGAGGAACCAGGGACACAAGAAAGCCAAAUAUUCAUUAGGAUUACACCCUCUCCACAGCCUCUUCAGCUGAAGGAAGUUUAUCUUCCUUCCCAUCUCCCUCUAAAACUCUAAAUGAGAAACAAAUAAAAAUUUUAUCCCCUUCCAUAACCCCGUGUGUCAGGCAGCAUCCUUUAUCUGCCACUGGCUGGAAAUCUCACAUUUUCAUUGCCUGAAUCACCAGAUGCAUUCAUCAACCCUGACAAAUGCCUCCAAACCACUAAAUCACACCACUCCAUCUCAAUGGGCUACAUAAUCAUUGUCAGGCUCCCCAUAAAUCUGGGAAUAUCUCUGUUCCACACUCCAAUAUCUCCAGCUUCUACCAGGGCUGAGAAACUGCCACGGGAAAACUGGAUGCUGAGUUAAGUUUAAGAGUUUUUCAGUCCCUUAAAAAUUUGAUAAACUCAUUAAUUUCUGUCAGGCCAGUUUAUUUUUAGAAUAAAUAAAAAGGGGAAAUAAAGUAUUUUUUUUCUACCCACAGGAAUAACUCAUGGACUAAGAGAUUUUUUUUCCCCAGAAUAAGACAACCCCGUCUGCUGUUAGAAAAAUGCCCAAAGCUGGGACCUGUUCUGGCAAGUGACAGGUGAAAACUCAGCUCUGUGCAGGACCUGUGAGUGCCACCCAAACCCAUGAGGGAGGAGGAAGAAGAAGCAUGAAGAAGAAACCCAGGAUGACACCCUGUGCCCUCCAUCUUGCUCCCAUCCACGCUAAAAAUCCCAAACCCUCAAUUUUCUCACCAAGUGAUACAUCUGCACUACUCUAUUUAUUUCACAUUUUUGUGGGUUCCAGUCUAUCUUGAAGUCUAGGAAACUUUCUCCAUGAAUGAGGGUGAAAGUGAGGGCACCCCGGAGCAGACAGGGAAAUAUUCCUGGUGCCCUGGGCUCCCACAGGUCUGGCAGGCUGUGCCCUCCUCCCUGGCUGCUGGCAGGAGCUCGGGAGCAGCAGACAUGGGCUGCAGGGCUGCUCCAGAGCUGCUGGAACACAAACCCCUCUCUGCUGCUUCAUCAGCGCUUUCCACAUCAAGAGCAUUUUGGAAGGAGCAGAAAAAUGCUUUGUGCAAUUAAAAAUCCUCAAAAGGACUUGGGCUGGUAGGAUGUAAAUAACGAAAUGCCCAAAUCAGCUCUCUCUCCUUGGAAGAGAUCCAGAACACAGAUGCUGGUGGGUGUUUUGUGUUGUGAGUGGCUCUGUCCUGUCCUUCCUCUGCUGCCUGGCCCUCCUGCUCUGCCUUGACACCGCUUGAUUUAUCCAAAUAAUGGCCUUCUGAAGAAAAAUGCUCUUUGCUCAGGGCUGAGGAACGGCUGAAUCAGGGAAAGCAGCACUUGGAAGUUUUCCUGGGAGGUUGCUGUGUCCAGUGCUGGUCAGGCUUGGUCCAGCUCAGCCCCUGGGAGCUGCUGAUGCUGCACGCGCUCCAGGGAGGGCCCAGCUGCAGCUCUCCCUGUUAAAAACCCCCAAACAGCCUCCCUCCCUGCAGGGUGGAACAGGAACUUGCAUUUUUCCUGAUUUCCACACCAGGAUGCACAGCAGCUUUUCCGUGUGGGCAGCCAUCCAACCCAGGUGUGAUCCAAGUGAAA